UAGGGUUUGAUUAUGGCUCAGAUUGAACGCUGGCGGCAGGCCUAACACAUGCAAGUCGAGCGAGAAAGUACUUCGGUACGAGUAAAGCGGCGGACGGGUGAGUAACGCGUAGGAAUCUACCUGGUAGUGGGGGACAACAUGUGGAAACGCAUGCUAAUACCGCAUGCGACCUAAGGGUGAAAGUGGGGGACCUUCGGGCCUCACGCUAUCGGAUGAGCCUGCGUAAGAUUAGCUAGUUGGUGAGGUAAGAGCUCACCAAGGCGACGAUCUUUAGCUGGUCUGAGAGGAUGAUCAGCCACACUGGGACUGAGACACGGCCCAGACUCCUACGGGAGGCAGCAGUGGGGAAUAUUGCGCAAUGGAGGAAACUCUGACGCAGCCAUGCCGCGUGUGUGAAGAAGGCCUUAGGGUUGUAAAGCACUUUCAAUUGGGAAGAAAGGUUGUACGUUAAUAGCGUGCAGCUGUGACAUUACCUUUAGAAGAAGCACCGGCUAACUCCGUGCCAGCCGCCGCGGUAAUACA
rnacentral:rRNA from 1 species